UAGGAAAUGAAUGAGAAGUUGCUAUAUUGCAUGUUUGUUUGUAUUAUUCAAAUUUUUAAAGUUAUUUAAUAUUUUUCUGUGGGACAGUAAGACCAGAUUUAAAAAGUUUUCUUGAAUCUCACCUUGAUUUUCAAUGUUGUUUCAAUGAUUCAAACCUUUUUUCUUUUUUUUGCUUUUCUCUUUUAUUUCAAGAUUAUAGUCCUAUUAACUGUUGCACAACUGGAUGUGAAUGAAUUAGUUUUUCUCCCCUGGGGAUGUGGCAAAUCAUUGAAAGGUGGAAAUCCUCAAUCCAAUAAGUGGAGAUGCUUGGUGCUGAACCAAGAUAGAAGCCAAGUUCCCUUAAGUGGUUCAGGUUCAAGUUUUAAAAAAAUUACCAGUUUAACCCAGCAGAACCCAAGAAACAAUUCCCUCCAGUUUUUUUUUUAAUUAAUUUGACUACUUGUUUUUUGUGUUUUUAUUUGUUUUAGUUAGGACCAGUUACAAGAGCCAAAAAUAGGAUGAAAAAAAUAUAUUUAAAAAGAAGGAAAAAAAAUCAGUCUGUUGCAGGGCCACAAUCGUACACGCAUGCACACCUGCACUAAUUUAGAGUCACCUUAGAAGCAUGUUUUUAGACCGUGGGAGGAAGCCAGGGUGCCUGGAGGAGGCCCAUGCAUGCACAAGGACAGAGGAGAACAUUGCAACUCUCCGUUCAUACCAGCAGAUGGAGGAAGAACAUCUUCUUUGAGGAUUUCAAAGUAAAGGUGCAUGAUUGUGACCAAACCCUGGUCAAUUUUUUUCCCCACAAUAUUCCAUUUGUCCUUGGUUUUGAUCAUGUUUGUUUUAAAUAUACAUAUAUGCUAAAGUCAGCAGUUCUUUGGUGAAAACUCAAUUUCACUCAGCACUAAAGAUGAGAUUCCUGCUACAAACUCACAAUAAUUCCCAAAAGGAAAUUUGUGGAUGCCAUUUGCAAACACUGUUUGUAAUUCCCACCACAUGUGACCGGGGUUUUAAUUUUGUGUAGGAGCAGUGGAAUGUGUGAGCUUGCACUCUGAAUUGUGCAUUUCUGAGUGCUCACCAACGUGUGCCUCCGUGUAAGUGCACGGCAGGUAAUUUUUUUUUCUUCUGUGUGUGUGUGUUUUUUUUUCUUUUUUUGUGGGAGGAGGGAGACAGGCACAUAAGUGGAGAUGACUCACCAGUCUUUUGUGAGAGUGCUGCAGAGUGUUUUUCACCCAUUUCUCUCCCUUGAGGCUUGCAUACAAAACAAGAAAUGGAAGGAUGAUGGAGAAGAAAAGGAAAGGAAGAUUGGGUGUUAGGUAGCAUUAGGGAGGAGCGAGGGGGCACGGAUAAUUGGAGAGAGCAAAAAAAAAAAAAAAAA